ACCCUCCAGAUGUUCGGCCAGUUCAAUUUCCGGCAAUGUAGACAGGAGGAAACGGAUAUCCAGAUGUGACGAUAGGGGCGUUCAUGGCUGACAGUGUGGUUCUGUUAAGAUCCAGGCCGGUGAUCUCUGUGGACGUCUCCAUCUUCUUGCCCGUGUCGAUUAACAUCACAGUACCGCAGUGUCACGAGGGCCCUCAGCAUCUCAACUGCUUCAACGUCACCAUCUGCAUGAGCUUUCGAGGAAAACAUGUACCCGGCCACAUAGAGUUGCUGUACAAUCUAACUGCAGAUUCAGAUAAGAGACACAAAGGUCUGCCGCCCGCGGGUGUAUUUUGGAAAUGGUGGGAGCAGACAGUUUGCUGUAAUCAGCGUUUCAGCCUGGAGA